AUGAUGGUGUCACUACACUCCAGCCUGGGCGACAGAGUGAGACCCUGCCUCACACGAAAACAUAAACAAAACAGGAGGCCCUGCUGUCCUGAGGGGCUGGUGGUGAGUCACUGGUGGAUGAGGAGAGAGCUGGUGUCCAGGUCCCAGCUGGGGUUGAGUCCUCACCUGUGCUGUCCCCCAGGGGGGCCUCUCUGCAGACCUCCAUCCCUCCCCUGGGAAGCCCAGCAGAAACCUGAGACUGGGCCUCCAGCUCCAGGUCGCCACUGGGCCCAGGGCUCUCCUGCCCACCCGCCAGGGACUGGGGAACAGGUAACUCCUGCACCACCCUCAACCCACCUGGCCUGUUGCUCCAGGUGUGGCCUGGAGGCCCCGGGGCCCGCACACCUGGUCAGCUCACAGGCCAGGAAGGGGAGUGGGGGAGGGCUGCCGGCCGCUGCUGGUUUCGUUUUGAGCCGGGCCCCUUCUCCUUCCUCCCUCCCUCACUCCCACUCCUCGCCAGACCCCUGCUUUCUGGGAAAGGCUGUGACAACUUCCUCUGAACUCUCCUUAACCUGCCCUGGAGCCCAGGGCCCCCAGGAGGCUGAGUUCCGCCUGCGGGACCUGAGGCUUCCUGCGGGUGACACACCUCCACCCAUGGCCACGUGGCCCCAGACCGCCCACCUUCUAGAAGGUUCUUUCUGUGCUGCCCCAUCAUGUCCCCACCCCAGGUGGAGCUGUCCCCUGCCUGCACCCCAUCCACCCUGUGUCCCAGGCUCUGCACACAGGAAACUGCUCCAGGGAGGGCUGCCUGAGACCCCCGCCUCCACCCCACAUUGUGGACAUCUGGGCUGGAUGGUUCUCUGGGGGUGGGGCCGCCCUGGGCACUGCAGGGUGCUGGGUGACAUCUCUGGCCUCCACCCACUCCAUGGCAGGGGCACCCUCCGUCUUGACAACCACAGAUAUCUUGGAGUUGCCAAGCCUGCCCUGGGUGGGGGGACAAAAUUGUUCCUGCUAAGAUCCAGUGGGCUGAAUGACAUCUGUGGGGAGACAGAAAUGACUGAGUUUUGUGCCGGCCGGUCAGGCAGUCCCUGGCAGACAAAAUUCCCAAGAAUUUGCAUCCAAAAAAACAAAACAAAACAAAACAAAACCACUGGGCGAGGUUGCACUUGCCUGUCAUCCCAGCACUUUGGGAGGCCAAGGUGGUCGGAUCACUUGAAGUCAGGAGUUCGAGACCAGCCUGGCCAACAUGGUGAAACCCUGUCUCUACUAAAAAUACAAAAAUUAGCCGGGGGUGGUGGCACAUGCCUGUAA
rnacentral:lncRNA from 1 species